rnacentral:rRNA from 1 species
CAGCACCUCAAGUGGUCAGGAUGAUUAUUGGGCCUAAAGCAUCCGUAGCCGGCUCUGUAAGUUUUCGGUUAAAUCCAUACGCUCAACGUAUGGGCUGCCGGGAAUACUGCAAAGCUAGGGAGUGGGAGAGGUAGACGGUACUCGGUAGGAAGGGGUAAAAUCCUUUGAUCUAUUGAUGACCACCUGUGGCGAAGGCGGUCUACCAGAACACGUCCGACGGUGAGGGAUGAAAGCUGGGGGAGCAAACCGGAUUAGAUACCCGAGUAGUCC